CAGCGACGGGGGCAACCUGGUGGCGAGUGGACGACGGUGAGUAAUAUAUCGGAACGUACCGAAGUGGGGAUAACGUAGACGAAAGUUACGCUAAUACCGCAUAUGCCCUAAGGGGGAAAGCGGGGGAUUCGCAAGAACCUCGCGUUUUCGGAGCGGCCGAUAUCGGAUUAGCUAGUAGGUGAGGUAAAGGCUCACCUAGGCGACGAUCCGUAGCUGGUCUGAGAGGACGACCAGCCACACUGGAACUGAGACACGGUCCAGACUCCUACGGGAGGCAGCAGUGGGGAAUUUUGGACAAUGGGCGCAAGCCUGAUCCAGCCAUGCCGCGUGAGUGAAGAAGGCCUUCGGGUUGUAAAGCUCUUUCAGCCGGAAAGAAAACGCACGGGUUAAUAACCUGUGUGGAUGACGGUACCGGAAGAAGAAGCACCGGCUAACUACGUG
rnacentral:rRNA from 1 species